CUGAGAAGAAGAGGAGUGUGUGUGUGUGUGUGUGUGUGUGUGUGUGCGCGCGUGCACGCACGUGAACUCGC
rnacentral:miRNA from 1 species